CUUUCGACCGCAUCUUCCAUCUUCUUCUAAAACUAACAAGGCAAUUAGAGAUUUACAUCUUCUAAUCGAGUUCUUGAGAUAUUGAGUCAUGGUAACAAGAGAGUGAAGCAUCAGAUUGGUAUGACUAAGAACAUACGCAGGCCUUAGUUUUAUAGCGACUCUGGCUGUAAUUUAUCAUGCUUUCAGCAGUAGAAAGAUCAGUUUAUAGCGCCUCUGGCUGUAAUUUAUCCAUCUCUGGCAUUUGGUCAAAUUCGUCUUCUUGGGAUCACUUAGAUAAGCAGAAGUCGAGAGGCUGAAUGAGCAAGCUUGGAGAGAGCUUAUGGAGAUUCUCUUUGCUAUUACUAUCGUUCGACAUGACUUUUCUAGUGGGUUUCUUCCUUUGGUUGUUACUCUUUUGUUGAUCAAGGCUUUACAUUGGCUUGCUCUUUUGUUGAAUUCAUUGAGACUUGUGAUAUUAUGUA